rnacentral:pre_miRNA from 1 species
AAAUUGCCCUCUAAAUUUUGUAAUUGUACAGUUUUGGCCCCCUAAGGCCAAUUUUGGUAAAAAAAAAUAACAUGUGGCACCUCACUUAGGCUGCCACAUCGGCACCUCAUUUAGGGUGUUACGUCAGCGUAGAUCGAGUCAAAAUUGAUCCUGGGGGCCAAAACUGUCACAAAUGCAAAACUUAGAGGGCAAUUU